CCAAAGGAUGUUUUAACAUCCCCCAAAUACAUUUAUAAGGAGAAUC
rfam:Tilletiaria anomala TBC 951 K437scaffold_31, whole genome shotgun sequence.